UUACAAUUGCGAUGGGGGGACGGAGAAGGCUAGGUGGGCCUGGCGACGGUUGUCCAGGUUCAAGUGCGUAGGCUUAAGAGUUAGGUAAAUCCGGCUCUUUUUAAGGCUGAGACACGACGUCGAGCACCUACGGGUGUGAAGUCAUUGAUGCCAUGCUUCCAGGAAAAGCCUCUAAGCUUCAGAUUGUAAGGAAUCGUACCCCAAACCGACACAGGUGGUCGGGUAGAGAAUACCAAGGCGCUUGAGAGAACUCGGGUGAAG
rnacentral:rRNA from 1 species